rnacentral:rRNA from 1 species
GAUGAACGCUAGCGGCAGGCCUAACACAUGCGAGUCGAGGGGUAGAAGGAGCUUGCUCCUUUGAGACCGGCGCACGGGUGCGUAACGCGUAUGCAAUCUACCUUGUACAGGGGAAUAGCCCAGAGAAAUUUGGAUUAAUGCCCCAUAGUAUAUAACCUUCGCAUGUUGGUUAUAUUAAAGUUCCAACGGUACAAGAUGAGCAUGCGUCCCAUUAGUUAGUUGGUAAGGUAACGGCUUACCAAGACGAUGAUGGGUAGGGGUCCUGAGAGGGAGAUCCCCCACACUGGUACUGAGACACGGACCAGACUCCUACGGGAGGCAGCAGUGAGGAAUAUUGGUCAAUGGUCGCAAGACUGAACCAGCCAUGCCGCGUGCAGGAAGACGGUCCUAUGGAUUGUAAACUGCUUUUAGACAGGAAGAAACCCUCCCACGUGUGGGAGCUUGACGGUACUGUAGGAAUAAGGAUCGGCUAACUCCGUG